UCUGACUUUUUUUCCUUCUUUGUUUUCAAAUCCCCACCUCCAUUGAUUCACUUUGUUCACCUUCUUCUUUCAUUUUUCUGCUUCCACCGUCACCUUCGCCUUUUCUUUCGUUUCCAUUGUCUUCUUUCUCCCACCCAUCUAUAUGACCAAUUCCGACGAUCACUCUCCUUCCCCAAAGAACUCUCCCAAACGCAUUAACAUGAAUCCUCCCAACAACCCCAAGAUGCGAUCUUUUCAGCAAGAUAUGCUAGAUCCCUAUUAUAUGCAUCCCAGUGACAACCCUGGGUUAUCGAUUGUCACUCCUCCCCUCAACAACACCAACUUUCAUUCAUGGUCCCGAUUCCUGAAAUUGGCUCUCAUGUCCAAGAACAAAUUAUGGUUUAUUGGUGGAACCCUAAAUCGUCCAGACAUUUCUGAUCCCAACCAUGUCCUCUGGAACCGCUGCAACAACAUGGUCAUGGCAUGUGUAACGCUCGGAAAUUCGAUUAUUCGCUUAAUUUAGACGUUUGGAGUGUUUAGUGAAAUUUUUCGUAUUUUGUGACGAUUUAGUCGGUAUUAGUUCGGGAUAGCGGAUCGACAAUUAAUUGAGAUUUUUAAUAUUUUUAGUAUUAGAAAUAUUAUUAGAGUGUCGCGUAUUAUUUUGGGAAUUUUUAGAGCAAAUUAAAUUAGACUGUAAAAUAUGAGGUGAUAAGUAAAUAGAGAGUUUUAAUAAGAUAAAAUUAAUUGGGCUUAAUGUUGUGUUGCUCGUGUGAAUUAGUUUGGCCCAAAGUAGAAUUAGUGAGGUAAUAUCUUAGGUUUAGAAACAGUCAGUAAAGGCAUAACUUUAGAAGAGGAAGCAAUUAGCAGAGAAUUGAGAGAGGCACAGUGCACGCGUAAGAAAGAAGAAUUUUGGGGAUUUUCGAUCGGGACGAAUUAGAUCAACCUUCGAUCCAAAGGUGAAGCUAGUAAGUGAAGAUUUAGCCGCCGUGAGUUGAGUCGGUUGUCGCUUUGAUACGUAGCAUUCGGGGGGACAAAAAGAUUGUUUUUAUUAUUGUUUUAAUUGCUGAAUUUUAUUUGGUUUUGGUUUAAUUUGUAACUUGAAGUUACCGUGCAAAGAUGCUACAACAUUAUUUGAAUAUUCUUGAAGUUUGCUGAUUCCGCUGCGAGUUAAUUAUUGAAUUUGAACAAAGUGAUUUUUAGUAAUGAUUUGAUUUAUCGUUUUAAA